rnacentral:rRNA from 1 species
AACAGGAUUAGAUACCCUGGUAGUCCACGCCGUAAACGAUGUCUACUAGCUGUUCGUGUCCUUGUGAUGUGAGUAGCGCAGCUAACGCACUAAGUAGACCGCCUGGGGAGUACGGUCGCAAGAUUAAAACUCAAAUGAAUUGACGGGGGCCCGCACAAGCGGUGGAGCAUGUGGUUUAAUUCGACGCAACGCGAAGAACCUUACCUACUCUUGACAUCUACGGAAGACUGCAGAGAUGCGGUUGUGCCUUCGGGAACCGUAAGACAGGUGCUGCAUGGCUGUCGUCAGCUCGUGUUGUGAAAUGUUGGGUUAAGUCCCGCAACGAGCGCAACCCCUAUCCUUAGUUGCCAGCGAGUUAAGUCGGGAACUCUAGGGAGACUGCCGGUGAUAAACCGGAGGAAGGUGGGGACGACGUCAAGUCAUCAUGGCCCUUACGAGUAGGGCUACACACGUGCUACAAUGGUACGUACAGAGGGAGGCAAGCUGGCGACAGUGAGCGGAUCUCUUAAAGCGUAUCGUAGUCCGGAUCGCAGUCUGCAACUCGACUGCGUGAAGUCGGAAUCGCUAGUAAUCGCAAAUCAGAAUGUUGCGGUGAAUACGUUCCCGGGCCUUGUACACACCGCCCGUCACACCAUGGGAGUGGGUUGCAAAAGAAGUAGGUAGCUUAACCUUCGGGAGGGCGCUUACCACUUUGUGAUUCAUGACUGGGGUGAAGUCGUAACAAGGUAACC